GGUCAAGACAUGGGCGUGAUUGACAGGCUAAUGACUUUUCUCGAUUCCAUGGAUGGUGGUGCAUGGUCGCACUUAGUUGGUGCAGUGAUUUGUCAGGUUUAUUCCGGUAACGAACGAGACCUCGGCCUUGUAAAUAGCUAUGCUGCUUACAGGGACAUUGGCGGCUACGCCAAGGAAGCUCGAGGCAAUUGCAGAUCUGGAAUGCCCUUAGAUGUCCUGGGUCGCACGCGUGCUACAAUGACGCCACGAACGAGCUUGCGUGAUGAAAGUUACGCAUAAUCAGCAGUCGGCGUCUUAAGGGAUAGUCUCUUGUAACUGUGGGACUCCAACUAGGAAUGUCUCGUAAGCACAAGUCAACAUCUUGUGUUGAUUACGUCCCUGCUCUUUGUACACACCGCCCGUCGCUCCUACCGAAUCGAGUGUUUAAGGUGAAAUUUGAAUGGAACGUAAGGAAAGUCAAAUAAACCCUAAGCUCUAGAGGAAGGAGAAAGUCGAACAUC
rnacentral:rRNA from 1 species